rnacentral:rRNA from 1 species
GAUGAACGCUGGCGGCGUGCCUAAUACAUGCAAGCCGAGCGAACGGACGAGAAGCUUGCUUCUCUGAUGUUAGCGGCGGACGGGUGAGUAACACGUGGAUAACCUACCUAUAAGACUGGGAUAACUUCGGGAAACCGGAGCUAAUACCGGAUAAUAUUUUGAACCGCAUGGUUCAAAAGUGAAAGACGGUCUUGCUGUCACUUAUAGAUGGAUCCGCGCUGCAUUAGCUAGUUGGUAAGGUAACGGCUUACCAAGGCAACGAUGCAUAGCCGACCUGAGAGGGUGAUCGGCCACACUGGAACUGAGACACGGUCCAGACUCCUACGGGAGGCAGCAGUAGGGAAUCUUCCGCAAUGGGCGAAAGCCUGACGGAGCAACGCCGCGUGAGUGAUGAAGGUCUUCGGACCGUAAAACUCUGUUAUUAGGGAAGAACAUAUGUGUAAGUAACUGUGCACAUCUUGACGGUACCUAAUCAGAAAGCCACGGCUAACUACGUG